UGUUGUCGUUUUCCUUUUUUCAUAUCCUAAUUUGCCUUGGAUUUCAGGAAAAUACGCAACUGAGUUUUUUUUGUCAUUUUCCUCUGUUUCAGACUAUUGAUCACAUCUGUUCUUUUUUCAGGCUUUGCUUGAAAUUUGUUAAGUAACUGUUGCUUUGGCUACAAUGGAGGAAAACUGAAAAGAGUUUUAUGAUAAAGGGAAGAACAACCAACAUUGUACAGUCGAAUCGGUCUUCCAAGAAUGGGAAAAGAGAUCAAAAGCCACAGAAGACAACAGGUGCUAAAAGAUCUCUAGAGCAAGAAAGACUCGAAGCUUUUAAAGAGGAAUCUAAUGUCUCAGUAGUAGUAGAUGAUACAACUACACAAUUAAAGCUCUCUGAUGAUGAUGAUCAUGCAGUGAAUGAGUCUUCAGUUACUUAUCAAGAGUUCGAGCCUGGUAGGAUUACAGAGAAAACGGAGAAGGAAGACACUGUAUUUGGUUUGGCCUGAUGCUGAAGAUGGGUAUUCUCUGCCUUUUGAGAUUUCAGGAGCUGAAACUAACUGGUAUUUCGAUUGAUCUGAUUUCUGAUUUUGUCCGAAAUCACCCAGUGUUACCUACUUAUACUACAAUUGAUUUUGUCCCGGCUUCCUAUCCAACUGUCAAUCUCGACUCCCUUGUUGAAGCAAAUCUCGACCUGGGACUCCUGUUUUGCAGAUGAAGAUGAUCAUAUUACUAGCAAUCUAACAAAUCUGAUUAAGGGGUUGAGAAAUGUUGAGAUCAUGAAUUUGUUAUCUCAUUACAGUUUGGAGAUGUUCCCAAAAAUCCAUUGAAGAACAUAGGAUAACAUUCUUGGUAUAUGUCAACUACAAGAAGCUCUUUUAAUAUGAGGUAGAAGAAGACAA